rnacentral:rRNA from 1 species
AACGAACGCUGGCGGCAUGCCUAACACAUGCAAGUCGAACGAGACCUUCGGGUCUAGUGGCGCACGGGGGCGUAACGCGUGGGAACCUGCCUUUAGGUUCGGAAUAACUCAGAGAAAUUUGAGCUAAUACCGGAUGAUGUCUUCGGACCAAAGAUUUAUCGCCUUUAGAUGGGCCCGCGUUGGAUUAGCUAGUUGGGGGGGUAAAGGCCUACCAAGGCGACGAUCCGUAGCUGGUCUGAGAGGAUGAUCAGCCACACUGGGACUGGGACACGGCCCAGACUCCUACGGGAGGCAGCAAUGGGGAAUAUUGGAAAAUGGGCGAAAGCCUGAUCCAGCAAUGCCGCGUGAGUGAUGAAGGCCUUAGGGUUGUAAAGCUCUUUUACCCGAGAUGAUAAUGACAGUAUCGGGAGAAUAAGCUCCGGCUAACUCCGUG